UACGUAGGGGGCAAGCGUUGUCCGGAAUCAUUGGGCGUAAAGCGCGCGUAGGCGGCCCGGUAAGUCCGUUGUGAAAGUCAAAGGCUCAACCUUUGAAUGCCGACGGAUACUGCCGGGCUAGAGUCCGGAAGAGGCGAGUGGAAUUCCUGGUGUAGCGGUGGAAUGCGCAGAUAUCAGGAAGAACACCAACGGCGAAGGCAGCUCGCUGGGACGGUACUGACGCUGAGACGCGAAAGCGUGGGGAGCGAACAGG
rnacentral:rRNA from 1 species